rnacentral:rRNA from 1 species
CAAGUCGAACGAUGAUGCCCAGCUUGCUGGGUGGAUUAGUGGCGAACGGGUGAGUAACACGUGAGUAACCUGCCCCUGACUCUGGGAUAAGCGUUGGAAACGACGUCUAAUACUGGAUAUGACUGCCGGCCGCAUGGUCUGGUGGUGGAAAGAUUUUUUGGUUGGGGAUGGACUCGCGGCCUAUCAGCUUGUUGGUGAGGUAAUGGCUCACCAAGGCGACGACGGGUAGCCGGCCUGAGAGGGUGACCGGCCACACUGGGACUGAGACACGGCCCAGACUCCUACGGGAGGCAGCAGUGGGGAAUAUUGCACAAUGGGCGAAAGCCUGAUGCAGCAACGCCGCGUGAGGGAUGACGGCCUUCGGGUUGUAAACCUCUUUUAGUAGGGAAGAAGCGAAAGUGACGGUACCUGCAGAAAAAGCACCGGCUAACUACGUGCCAGCAGCCGCGGUAAUACGUAGGGUGCAAGCGUUGUCCGGAAUUAUUGGGCGUAAAGAGCUCGUAGGCGGUUUGUCGCGUCUGCUGUGAAAUCCCGAGGCUCAACCUCGGGCUUGCAGUGGGUACGGGCAGACUAGAGUGCGGUAGGGGAGAUUGGAAUUCCUGGUGUAGCGGUGGAAUGCGCAGAUAUCAGGAGGAACACCGAUGGCGAAGGCAGAUCUCUGGGCCGUAACUGACGCUGAGGAGCGAAAGCGUGGGGAGCGAACAGGAUUAGAUACCCUGGUAGUCCACGCCGUAAACGUUGGGCGCUAGAUGUAGGGACCUUUCCACGGUUUCUGUGUCGUAGCUAACGCAUUAAGCGCCCCGCCUGGGGAGUACGGCCGCAAGGCUAAAACUCAAAGGAAUUGACGGGGGCCCGCACAAGCGGCGGAGCAUGCGGAUUAAUUCGAUGCAACGCGAAGAACCUUACCAAGGCUUGACAUACACCGGAAACGGCCAGAGAUGGUCGCCCCCUUGUGGUCGGUGUACAGGUGGUGCAUGGUUGUCGUCAGCUCGUGUCGUGAGAUGUUGGGUUAAGUCCCGCAACGAGCGCAACCCUCGUUCUAUGUUGCCAGCGCGUUAUGGCGGGGACUCAUAGGAGACUGCCGGGGUCAACUCGGAGGAAGGUGGGGAUGACGUCAAAUCAUCAUGCCCCUUAUGUCUUGGGCUUCACGCAUGCUACAAUGGCCGGUACAAAGGGCUGCGAUACCGUAAGGUGGAGCGAAUCCCAAAAAGCCGGUCUCAGUUCGGAUUGAGGUCUGCAACUCGACCUCAUGAAGUCGGAGUCGCUAGUAAUCGCAGAUCAGCAACGCUGCGGUGAAUACGUUCCCGGGCCUUGUACACACCGCCCGUCAAGUCAUGAAAGUCGGUAACACCCGAAGCCGGUGGCCUAACCC